GACGAACGCUGGCGGCGUGCUUAACACAUGCAAGUCGAGCGGUAAGGCCCUUUACGGGGGUACACGAGCGGCGAACGGGUGAGUAACACGUGGGUGACCUGCCCUCAGCUCUGGGAUAAGCCUAGGAAACCGGGUCUAAUACUGGAUAUGACUCCAUGACGUCAUGUUGUGGGGUGAAAGCCUUGUGCGGCUGAGGAUGGGCCCG
rnacentral:rRNA from 1 species